UGCUGUGCCAUGCUGCGCUGCCUGGCCCUGCACACCUGCUCAGCACCCCACUCUUCUCCUGCCCUCUCCAGGGUUCAACUUUGUCCCCAGCACUUUGAGAAGCUGAGUCAGUGAAAGUGGACUGCAUAAUUCCAAGUGAUAAAAACAACAGUGACAGCAAUCAAGUCUGACAGUCCUUUUCCUUGUCUGUUCCCUACAGAGCGUAAACAGAAGGACUUAUUACCGAAGAUAUUCACAGCUCACCCGUCAAGGAUAGAUCAGAGUCAGCUAUCAUCCUAAACAUAUUUUUGAAGCACUGGAGAGGAAAAAGGAUGUGAUAACAAUACAAGAUCUACCGAUGACCUAUCAUUGCUAAUAUCUGCCCUAUCUGAAAACCACUCUGUGUAGAUAGCUACUGUACUGGCAGAUAGAAAAUCAUGAACAAAAGAGGAAGAAAGAAGAAGGGAAUCAAGCCACCAAAGGAACUAGAUGUCAGUUAUGCAAGUUAGUGCCAUUCUUCAGGUCCAUUACUGGGAGCUGUGGUGAAAGAACUGACUAAUUACCUUGGAGCAUAAAUGAGCAUGCAUUUAAAAUGUCCACAGUGUUGGCACUCUGUCUUUGCUGAGGUUUCCACUGUGGCUGUGCCUUGAGUUGUAACAGUUGACAGUAACCAUGAGACAAUAUCAGAGGACAGGAGUAUAGAUUUUUCAAAUAAGCCUCCAAUAACAAUUUGAGAAGUCAUGAGGUUCAACAAAAACAAGGUCUUGCAUUUGUGUUGUAGCA